rnacentral:pre_miRNA from 1 species
GUAUUACUCCCUCCGUCCCAAAAUUCUUGUCUUACAUUUGUUUAGAUACGGAUGUAUCUAACACUAAAAUGUAACUAGAUACAUCCAUAUUUAGAAAAAUUUAAGACAAGAAUUUUCGGACAGAGGGAGUACAAA